rnacentral:rRNA from 1 species
UACGUAGGGUGCGAGCGUUAAUCGGAAUUACUGGGCGUAAAGCGUGCGCAGGCGGUUCGUUAAGUCAGAUGUGAAAGCCCCGGGCUCAACCUGGGAACUGCAUUUGAAACUGGCGGGCUUGAGUGUGGCAGAGGGGGGUGGAAUUCCGCGUAUAGCAGUGAAAUGCGUAGAGAUGCGGAGGAACACCGAUGGCGAAGGCAGCCCCCUGGGCCAACACUGACGCUCAGGCACGAAAGCGUGGGGAGCAAACAGG